AUUGAACGCUGGCGGCAUGCCUUACACAUGCAAGUCGAACGGCAGCACGGGAGCAAUCCUGGUGGCGAGUGGCGAACGGGUGAGUAAUACAUCGGAACGUGCCCAGUAGUUGGGGAUAACCCGGCGAAAGCCGGACUAAUACCGCAUACGACCUACGGGUGAAAGCGGGGGAUCGCAAGACCUCGCGCGAUCGGAUCGGCCGAUGUCAGAUUAGCUAGUUGGUGGGGUAAAGGCCUACCAAGGCGACGAUCUGUAGCUGGUCUGAGAGGACGACCAGCCACACUGGGACUGAGACACGGCCCAGACUCCUACGGGAGGCAGCAGUGGGGAAUUUUGGACAAUGGGCGCAAGCCUGAUCCAGCCAUGCCGCGUGAGGGAAGAAGGCCUUCGGGUUGUAAAACGCUUUUGUCAGGGAAGAAACGCUUCGGGCGAAUACCACGGAGUAAUGACGGUACCUGAAGAAUAAGCACCGGCUAACUACGUG
rnacentral:rRNA from 1 species